rnacentral:misc_RNA from 1 species
UCCGGUUUGUCACCGGCAGUCUCCUUAGAGUUCCCACCAUUACGUGCUGGCAACAUAAGACGAGGGUUGCGCUCGUUGCGGGACUUAACCCAACAUCUCACGACACGAGCUGACGACAACCAUGCACCACCUGUGUACAGACCUUGCGGGGGAACCAUCUCUGGAACUUUCCUGUACAUGUCAAGCCUUGGUAAGGUUCUUCGCGUUGCAUCGAAUUAAUCCGCAUGCUCCGCCGCUUGUGCGGGCCCCCGUCAAUUCCUUUGAGUUUUAGCCUUGCGGCCGUACUCCCCAGGCGGGGCGCUUAAUGCGUUAGCUGCGGCACAGAGGUCGUGGAAGGACCCCCACACCUAGCGCCCAACGUUUACGGCGUGGACUAC